GCGCACCAGUCGCGAAUAGUCUACAAUGGACGAAAGUCUGAUAGUGCGACGCCGUGUGUGCGAUUAAUUCCUUCGGGAUGUAAAGCACUUUUCUAUGAGAUAAAAGCUCUUUAGGUUAAUAGCUUAUUGAGACGGAUAUUAUUAUAGGAAUAAGCUCCGGCUAACUCCGUGCCAGCAGCCGCGGUAAUACGGAAGGAGCGAGCGUUGUCCGGAUUUACUAGGCGUAAAGGGCUAGUAGGCGACUAAUUAAGUUAUAUGUUAAAUCCCACGGCUCAACUGUGGUCCUGCAUGUAAUACUGGUUAGAUAGAGUACUGUAGAGGAAGGCAGAAUUCCUGGAGUAGCGGUGGAAUGCGCAGAUAUCAGGAAGAAUACCAAAAGCGAAGGCAGCCUUCUGGGCAGUUACUGACGCUGAAUAGCGAAGGUGUGGGUAGCGAACAGGAUUAGAUACCCCGGUAGU
rnacentral:rRNA from 1 species